UUCUAUGAUGUUGAUGAACUUUGGCACAUUCAUGACCAUCAUGGAAUCUGGAAAGAACAAAAUAAAGCGCAGGAAACACUGUCAUUAAGUGAGCCCUUAUCUUAAGGCAGGGAAUGAGAAGGGGAGGUUUGUCACCGACUUCAAAAACUUGCGGAAUAAUCCAGCUCGUUUCGUCGAAAAUAUCCGUAUGCCACCAAGUGUAUUGGAUGAGCUUUGGGAGAUGCUGGAACCACAUUUGCUUCCAAAGCGAAAUAGUAGAUCGAACGAAUUCAUCCCUAAGUUAGCAAUUGUACUAGAGUACCUCGCUUCUAGAGAUAUACAACGCCAUAUUGCCUUCUACUACCGAAUUAGCAAGCAUCGCUUUGGUAGAAUCUUGUCCGAUGUGUUUAAGGGAAUAGGCAGCGUAUUGAAAAAUUAAAUUCCAGAGUAGACAGAACACUCGUUGUUGGAGAUAUCAUAUUGCUUUGGAACACAAUGGAAUUUUCCGAACUGCAUCGGGUAUCGAUGGCAAACACAUAGCUAUCAAAGCCUCACCAAAAUAUGGAAACAUAUUUUAUAAUUACAAAGGAUUCCAUUCUAUUGUGUUGAUGGCCACAUGCGAUGCCAAUUAUAAAUUCAGGGGAAUGAGAAACUAUACAACAACAAGAAGGCCCUUUAAAUGAUUCAGGUACCUACCGGGGAAGUGCAUCAGAUUAUGGAAUGUAUGCAAGAAACGUCUUAAAAGAUUAUGUAAAUUCUACAUUUGGAUCUGUUCCAUGGCAAAAUAAUGCAAACUUUUUUUCCAAUAUUUAUGUUUGUUUAUAAA